rnacentral:rRNA from 1 species
UACGUAGGGUGCAGGCGUUAAUCGGAAUUACUGGGCGUAAAGGGCUCGUAGGUGGCCAACUAAGUCAGACGUGAAAUCCCUCGGCUUAACCGGGGAACUGCGUCUGAUACUGGAUGGCUUGAGUUUGGGAGAGGGAAGUGGAAUUUCCGGUGUAGCGGUGAAAUGCGUAGAGAUGCGGAGGAACACCAGUGGCGAAGGCGGCAUCCUGGCCCUGUCCUGACGCUCAGGGGCGAAAGCGUGGGGAGCAAACCGG